GCGUCUGUAGCCUAGUUGGUAAAGGCAGCACUCUAGUAUGUGUCUCAGCAUAGCUGAGGUCGUGAGUUGAAAUCUCACCAGACACA
rnacentral:tRNA from 1 species